GACGAACGCUGGCGGCGUGCUUAACACAUGCAAGUCGAACGGAAAGGCCCUGCUUUUGUGGGGUGCUCGAGUGGCGAACGGGUGAGUAACACGUGAGUAACCUGCCCUUGACUUUGGGAUAACUUCAGGAAACUGGGGCUAAUACCGGAUAGGAGCUCCUGCUGCAUGGUGGGGGUUGGAAAGUUUCGGCGGUUGGGGAUGGACUCGCGGCUUAUCAGCUUGUUGGUGGGGUAGUGGCUUACCAAGGCUUUGACGGGUAGCCGGCCUGAGAGGGUGACCGGCCACAUUGGGACUGAGAUACGGCCCAGACUCCUACGGGAGGCAGCAGUGGGGAAUAUUGCACAAUGGGCGGAAGCCUGAUGCAGCAACGCCGCGUGCGGGAUGACGGCCUUCGGGUUGUAAACCGCUUUCGCCUGUGACGAAGCGUGAGUGACGGUAAUUGGUAAAGAAGCACCGGCUAACUACGU
rnacentral:rRNA from 1 species